rnacentral:rRNA from 1 species
GUCCACGCCGUAAACGAUGGGCAUUAGGUGUGGGAGGUGUCGACUCCUCCCGUGCCGGCGCUAACGCAUUAAAUGCCCCGCCUGGGGAGUACGGCCGCAAGGCUAAAACUCAAAGGAAUUGACGGGGCCCGCACAAGCAGCGGAGCAUGUGGUUUAAUUCGAUGCAACGCGAAGAACCUUACCUGGGCUUGACAUGUUUGUGACAGCCGUGGAAACACGGUCUUCCUUCGGGACACUUACACAGGUGGUGCAUGGCUGUCGU